rnacentral:rRNA from 1 species
UGGGGAAUAUUGCACAAUGGGCGCAAGCCUGAUGCAGCCAUGCCGCGUGUAUGAAGAAGGCCUUCGGGUUGUAAAGUACUUUCAGCGAGGAGGAAGGCGUUGUGGUUAAUAACCGCAACGAUUGACGUUACUCGCAGAAGAAGCACCGGCUAACUCCGUGCCAGCAGCCGCGGUAAUACGGAGGGUGCAAGCGUUAAUCGGAAUUACUGGGCGUAAAGCGCACGCAGGCGGUCUGUCAAGUCGGAUGUGAAAUCCCCGGGCUCAACCUGGGAACUGCAUCAGAAACUGGCAGGGUAGAGUCUUGUAGAGGGGGGUAGAAUUCCAGGUGUAGCGGUGAAAUGCGUAGAGAUCUGGAGGAAUACCGGUGGCGAAGGCGGCCCCCUGGACAAAGACUGACGCUCAGGUGCGAAAGCGUGGGGAGCAAACA